rnacentral:lncRNA from 1 species
GUUAUUUUUAUAUUUUAUUAUUUUUUUUUGAACUCUAGAUUUUUUGCAAUUUAUAUAUCUAUUUUUUGUGAGAAAAUCCAGCCUCGAAUUAAAUUUGAAUUAUUUGAAGCAAGUAAAUUAAUAAUAAUUAUAUAUAUAUAUAUAUAUAUAUAUAAAUAAAUUGUAAUAUAUUUCAAACACAUAGGACAUCCAAUUACACGAGAUACAAAAAAAAUUACAAAUAGUUUAAUAAAACAAAUAAAAAAAACACACUCCCAACUAUUAAAGGCGAUAGACCCAUCCGUAAAGAUCACACGUCGAACACGUCGAAAGUAAUACAAAAACAGCCCAAAAAUUUAUUUGGGUACGGCCCUGUAAUUUUCAAAAUCAGUGGGAUAGAGAGAGAUACACAAUCACUUGCACAGCCUAAAGUAGGAAUCGCCAGAACGCAGGUGUUUUAUCUUUGUUUAAUAGACUGGCUAAAAAGAGUUGAGAAGUCUUUGAGUGCUGGGAGUGUUUAAAAGGUUUUGUAAGAUGUUUGGAUUUUAGUCCGUGGUCAAUUUUUUGAUAUUAUUUUCUUUAUAAAAAUAGACAUUUUCGAAUGAAAAAUAAAAAAUAACAUAAAACAUGGGGUUUUACGUAUAUUUAUAAUGACAUAGAUAAAUUAUAUAAAAUUUUGCCAUUUAAACAUGUAUAUCAUCGGACAAUAAAUACGACAUAGGCGCACGGACUAUUUAUUGCGGCAUCUGCGACACAUCAAAGAUUCUAAUAGAUCUCUGAACUGGACUUUACUAAAGACGUAUUACGUACUAUGAGAGUAUACAGGGUGUUCGAAAAAUAGACGGAGAUAUUUCAAUGGGUGAUUGCUUGUAAAAAAAUAUGAGAAAUUGUCUAUAAACAUGGGUUUGGAAAUGCAUAGUUUUUAAGAUACAGGGUGAUCAAUUUUUUUUUAAAUAUUAUUUUUUUAUUAAUAUUAAAAAGAAUAUUUACUCGAUUUUUUUGAAACUUGGCAGUAUUACUUGUUUUAUUAAGAGGCCUAUUUAGCUCUAAUUAGAUUAAAAAUAUAAGGUUCAGUGGCGUCCCGGGGGACAUCUUAGCAAAUAUUAUUGGCAAAAAAAUGUACGCCACUGCCUUUUUUCAACUUUAAUAUUUGUUGUUUGAUUAAGCAUUUGAAAAUACAACUUUUUUGCCUCUUGUAUUUUUUUCGUAUCUCACUUCGUUUUCGACAAAAAAAAAUAAAUACCGUUUUAUUGCAUGCCACUGGACAAAAUUGGUUUAUUAAUUUUUGGUGAAAAAAUCACAGGUGCCUUGGAAAACAAAAAAUAUCCGUCUAUUUUUUGAACACCCUGUAUAGGACAUCCACUUUCCGCAGGAUUCUAUGUCAUAUGUACGUACUUCUAGGACAUUUUACGUCAUGUAUUGGUCAUAAUGUGACGUAUCUAGGAUGUUUACACCACUCCCUUUUUUGAGUGGUAAAAUGUAUUUGGGAGCAAAAUAACUCAUUUAUAAAAACCUAAAAUAUAUUGAUUAUGAAACAAAUUAUAAAAAUAUUAAACAAAGCAUGUAUAUGUCUAAAAAACAAAACAAAAAAUGAACGUUUAGGAAAGUACAAAGAACAAAUAGCAUUUGCAAUACAGUCUUCAAUUUUCUUUGUGCUUCCAAUCCGUGCUUGUAGUGCUGAACCUUAAAAUUAUAUUUUAAAAUAAGCAAAUUAUAAAAUAAGUAAUAUAAGUUCAUUACCACUAAAUAAAUACAUAGGCUUUUACCAUGAAUUGGGAUAGAUCACAGUAGAUCCGUCCUGUCACUGAGCGAACAGUAAAACUAAAUUCAAAUGUUAUUAUAAGCCGAAUUUUGAUAAAGCCUAAAUUCACAGGAGCGUAAACUUUUUUUACAAAUGGACAACCCAAACCUUGACGCUGUUCUCGCAUCUGUCACUUGUCUUAAACACUGUCAACACUGUCAACUCCCCAAUGUUACCAAUUACUUAUUUGACAGUCAAUGGCGGCAACAAAAACGCUGGGUAACUUUUGCGACCGAUCUUGAUGAUGUUGAUACAUUAUGACAAAUACUUCAUUAUCUAUAAUUUUUAGAUGUUUUGAAAAUCCUAUACCCAAUUACUUUUCGACCAGAUCAACAUGUAAAUUAACUAAAUUUAUAGGGUAUGUCAGUUUUUUGGAAAAAAAGAAUCUCGAUGUAACAGUUGUUGUCUAAUUUAUACCGAAUUCGUUGACUUUUCACUUUUUCUAUCAAAGCAAAGAAGCAUAUGCAAAUCGUGUUUUUUCUGUUUACCCUACCGAAAUUAGAAGUAUUGAAAAUAAAACUUAGAAGUAUUCAAAUAAAUUCUUUUAAAAAAAUUUAUACUAUUUUUUUUUAUUCUCCUAUAAUCCAUAGGAGCUAAAACAUUUUCUAAGUAUUAAUGUAUACAUGUAGGUACUUCCGCGAGUCGUAUUUAAUUUAUGUACGAAUUACGUAUCCAAAAGUACGUACUAAAUACGUUAUUUUCAUAACAAUGAACAUAUGGACAUAAAUGUGACAUAAAAAUUACGUACCCAGGACCUAUGAUGCUGUUUGGGUAUUAUUCGCAAAUGUCCUGCGUGGUAUGGUCCAAAUAACGAAACCGUGGAACAUCUAUUGGACGUCCUGGGUAGAAUUGUCAGAUUUAGGAUAUUCGUGGGAUGUCUAAUUAAAUAUAUACUUUUAUGAAAUCUAUAAAUUUUUAUUUUAUUUUUUAAUCUUGAGUGUUAGUUAGUUAAGCAGUGAUCGCGUAUGUACAGCUUAUUGUAUAGCAUAGCUUAUAUAGUGACUUUUUCCUAACGUUCCCUCACUUCUUGUUGACGUAAAAAUGACACUUUUCCGACAUAACCGAUGAUGGAUGCAAUAUGCCCACAUAUGCUCAAGUUAUCCUGUAUAUAAACGCCCACCUAUUAAAACCUUAGUGGGUGGGCCACUUAAGAUAACUUUUAGCAAUAUUUAAUUUAAAGGAAAAAAAAAACAUUUAAGGGAGUGUCCGCACCGAUAUUUAUGACAUAAGAUUUAAAACACAGCUUCAUUAUUUAUGACCUAAAAUUAAGGAGGGUGGUCUUAAGAAAAACUAAAUAGGGUUAGGAUACCAUACAUACUUUUUUCUCUUACGUUUCCUGUCCACACCUCCAUCACCGCCUUUUUUCGUUAACUAACAUCCCCCCCUCGUGUGACAACAAUGACGUUUGCCUCGCGUCAUAUUUUUACCAUAUUAUAAGGUGCAGCUGGGUGGGCGUAACUAUAGACCCAUGCCAUUAUACAAAAGACCCAUUUUCUGCUACUUUAUGUAUCCAUAAAUGCAUUAUAUCCAAUCCGGCCUAUAAAAUUGAUAAAAAUCAGGGGCGGAAUUAAGUGGGGCGCGUGCUUGUUUUACGAAAACAGCUCCCCUGCUAUCGGGGUGUUUUGUUCGGGCCUUGCCCCCCCGUGUGUUACGUCAAUGGAACGCCUUAAGGGGGUUAAUGACGUCCAAUUAGAGCGGAUGUAUUCAAGGGUUUUUUUUUGGGAAAAUUUAGUCAUGAGAUCAUAUUUUAUAAGUCAGAAAAAAUUGAAUUUCAUGCUUUAUAUGCAGGGUUAGACUCCUUCACUGAUUUUAAGAAGAAAAAUUAAUAGCUGACAAAUUAACUUUUACAAUUAGUUGAAAUAAUUGUUAUGAAUUGGCGAAGGUGCAGGGCAUAUUUCAAAUCGAAUUGCUGAGAGACAUUUUCUCUUAGACUAAACGUGUUGUGCUAUAAAUUUAUGGUACUAAUAUAGUUACAUUAUUUAUUAGAUAAUGCGUUAGAGAAGCGCAAGCCUAUACUGAUAGCAAUAAGUAAGAUAGAGAAAAGAUAUAUUUUUCCAGACAAAUUUUCGUGCUAUUAGAGGCUUACAGUUAAGAAAAUCUAAAUUUGAUGACACGAUUUUGUUAAAAAGAAAAAAAUAUAAGCGAAAAGUUCAAUAUCCUCCUGGAAUUAAUCAAACAUGUGCAAAAGAAUAUUCCUGAGAUAUAACAUCAUUAUUUCGUAACCGUCCUUAUAAUAUUCUUUAAAUAUUCAAGGAAUAAUCCUAAUUAAUAAAAUUGUUUUGGUGUCUAACAGUAAAUUAAAACGAUUCAAGGAAACCCUCUUGCGAUUGUCGGUGUAGCGGUCGAAUAAGCAGCAUCAAAAUAGCGAAUUUCGUAAAAACAUCUAAUUAUUCCUUAUUUUCCUUUGGAAAAUUGGACUUUCUUCCAAGCUUUAUUUAAAAAAUGGUCUGUUCCGAGUCAAAAUUAUGUCCACCCCAAAUUUUGCUUUCCAGGUAAAAAUGAUGUGGGUUCAACUGCCACUAAAGCUCAAAUAUCUCAAAAACCAAUAAAGAUAAAAUUAUUAAACAAAAAGAACUAAAUUCAGAAAAAUAUUUUCUACACAUAUUUUUAAAGCAGCAAACUGGUCCAAGUAAUACUUUCUUAGUUAUCCGAGUUUAAAUACCCAUCCCGUGACACUUAAAUCAAAUAACAAUGAAAGUAUGAAAAUUUUGCAAAAAAAAUCCUGAUUUCUAAUAUUUAUACAUCGGGGUAGCAGUCGAAUAAACAGCAUCAAAAUAGUGUAUUUGAAGUUGCGUCAUCUCAAACGUCUUCAAGUGAAGCUCAAUAACUCAAAGAGCAGUAAAGAUAAAAUUACGAAAUAAAAAGCACAAAAUACACAAAAGGAUUUUCUACAAAUAAUAUUGAUGAAACAAAUUGAUUCAAGUAAAACUUUUUGAAUUAUUUGACUUUGAAUAGCGAAAAUUUGGCAAAAAAUCCAGAUUUGCCUGUAAUAUAUUUUUUUUUAAUUAAAAAUCCUGACUUACUUCAAUAUACACACCGGUCAAAUAAAUAGCAUUAAUAUAGAGUAUUUAAAGUUGACUCAAAUACCUAUGAAAAACCAAUAACGAUAAAAUUACGAAACAAAAAGCUAAAUUGAAAAAAAGGUUUUCUACAAAUAUUCUUUUAGUUACAAACUGAUCCCAGUUAAACCUACUGCCUUAUCCGACUUUGAAUACCCAAAAACCAUCGUAAUCAAAGUAAAUUCGUCACAUUUGAAGCAAAUAAUAGAAGCCAAAAAUACACUUUCUUCAUAGAUAAAACACCUGAUCUCCCAAAAGUGUUAAAAACUCCCUAACAAUAGUAUAUCCGAUUGAAAACGUCAAUCAGCACACCUUUUACGGUCCCAAAAACCGUAAAUACUAAUGAAAUUGACGGACAUGUGUCAUCGGACGUGUCCACUCGGUUGGAGGUCCGUUUUUGACUUAUUCGUCUAAUUUAAACCCACGUCAAAGGCCAUUUAGUUACACCCUUAAGUUGAGGCGCCAACGUCGGCUCUAUUGUCUUCUGGUUUUUAAAGUACAACUACGAAAGUACAAAAUGGCAAUUAAGUAGCGCAGCUCAGCAGAUAUAGGGUAGGAUUUUCAUAAACACCACCUACGAAAGAAAUAUAUGAGAAAGAUUGCUGUUUUCAAGAUUGCUAAUUUGGAGACAUCCUUCAUUACUAAUGAUGCUUGAAUCAUCUUUCAAAAUUACUGCAGCACUAUUUUUGAGAGUUUUCAAGGAACAAAUUUAUUAGAUAUUAAAGGAACAAAGAGCAGAAAAUUAUUACAGAAGUCUAGUGCGCCUGACAAAAAGGUUAAAAGUAAUGAUCUUAAUAGAGUUGGUUUUGAGGGUGAUGUAAGUAAUGACACUAGUGAGGAAGAAUCAGAGGAAGAUGGACAUUGAUACCUGUAAAAGAAAUACCUGAAAAAAACGUUCAAGAAAUAAAUAAAGGAACACUUGAGACAAUUAAAAUUUAAGUUGAAGUGGCUAGUUGAAGUCAUGGAGGUUAUUCAUGAAAAAUCCAUUAUUAUAAUUUUGCUGGUUAUUUUGGAAAAUGAGGUUGAUAGAGAAAGUCUGGAAAAUAUGAACAUGGAAUUCUUGAAAGAAUUAAAAAUUUGACCAAAUUAUCCUUGAUUAAUUCAACUGAAGAGAAAUUGAUCAAUGGCACGAAUCUGAAAUCUGGAAAGUGAUCUGGCAAGGAAAAGGAGUUCCUACGAAACAAAUUAGUGGAUCUAGUAAUAAGGAAUGAACUAAUAAUCUAGGUGCUUUUGUUUAACAUAGUAUAUAUUAAUACAUUUUAUUUCAAUGAAA